ACCAGCAGCCAUAUCACCCUGCAACUCACAACUGGCAGCCCACUGAAGCUAAGCAGGUGUGAGCCUGGUCAGUACCUGGAUAGGAGACCUCCUGGGAAAAACGGUUGCUGCUGGAA
rnacentral:rRNA from 1 species